CCCAUUUUACAGAUUCAGAAAUGGAGGCUCACCCAGGCUACGUAAUUUGCUCAGGACUGUGCAUCCCGCAGUGAGUCUGUGCUAUGGUCCAAACCCAGGACUUUGCCAAAAGCUUCAAGAAGUAGCCAACAUAAUUCAACAUCCAAAACAUCUCCCGCCAUUUCCCUUAACACUACAGCCUCAGCUGGCACGUGAUUGGAAUCUCAAGGCAUGACAAGCAAGAGUCCAAAGCAAAUGUCUUGCUGCCACCCAGCAAGUGUUGCAGACAUCCAGCCUAUUCUAGCUGGGCCCUCACUGCCCUCUGUCCUGCCACCUCAAUUCGGCCAUUCUGUGUUUUCAGAUAUUAUCUGUGCUGCUCUAUUUACUGCAACUAAAUUCAAAGGAAUGUGUCUGGCUACAAGUAACAGAGGAUAGGACAAUAAAAAGGAUUUUAUUUAGUCAACAAGAA